rnacentral:rRNA from 1 species
AGAACGAACGCUGGCGGCAUGCCUAACACAUGCAAGUCGAACGAGAUCCUUCGGGGUCUAGUGGCGCACGGGUGCGUAACGCGUGGGAAUCUGCCCUUAGGUACGGAAUAACUCAGGGAAACUUGUGCUAAUACCGUAUGAUGUCUUCGGACCAAAGAUUUAUCGCCUAGGGAUGAGCCCGCGUAGGAUUAGCUAGUUGGUGGGGUAAAGGCCUACCAAGGCUACGAUCCUUAGCUGGUCUGAGAGGAUGAUCAGCCACACUGGGACUGAGACACGGCCCAGACUCCUACGGGAGGCAGCAGUGGGGAAUAUUGGACAAUGGGCGAAAGCCUGAUCCAGCAAUGCCGCGUGAGUGAAGAAGGCCUUCGGGUUGUAAAGCUCUUUUACCCGGGUAAGAUAAUGACUGUACCGGGAGAAUAAGCCCGGCUAACUCCGUGCCAGCAGCCGC